AUUGAACGCUGGCGGCAGGCCUAACACAUGCAAGUCGAGCGGUAGAGAGGUGCUUGCACCUCUUGAGAGCGGCGGACGGGUGAGUAAUGCCUAGGAAUCUGCCUGGUAGUGGGGGAUAACGUCCGGAAACGGACGCUAAUACCGCAUACGUCCUACGGGAGAAAGCAGGGGACCUUCGGGCCUUGCGCUAUCAGAUGAGCCUAGGUCGGAUUAGCUAGUUGGUGAGGUAAUGGCUCACCAAGGCGACGGUCCGUAACUGGUCUGAGAGGAUGAUCAGUCACACUGGAACUGAGACACGGUCCAGACUCCUACGGGAGGCAGCAGUGGGGAAUAUUGGACAAUGGGCGAAAGCCUGAUCCAGCCAUGCCGCGUGUGUGAAGAAGGUCUUCGGAUUGUAAAGCACUUUAAGUUGGGAGGAAGGGUUGUAGAUUAAUACUCUGCAAUUUUGACGUUACCGACAGAAUAAGCACCGGCUAACUCUGUGCCAGCCGCCGCCGUAAAAC
rnacentral:rRNA from 1 species